UACGUAGGGUGCGAGCGUGUCCGGAAUUAUUGGGCGUAAAGAGCUUGUAGGCGGUCUGUCGCGUCUGCUGUGAAAAUCCGGGGGCUCAACCCCGGACUUGCAGUGGGUACGGGCAGACUAGAGUGUGGUAGGGGGAGACUGGAAUUCCUGGUGUAGCGGUGAAAUGCGCAGAUAUCAGGAGGAACACCGAUGGCGAAGGCAGGUCUCUGGGCCACUACUGACGCU
rnacentral:rRNA from 1 species